CACAGAGUGCUAGAAAUUGUACAUGGUGUCUAUUUUGUCGUCACUUUAGGGGCAUGUUCUAAAACUAUCGACUGGAGAAAAACACACAACCUAAAAGUUACCAGUUAAGUUUAAUUAGGAGAAUUUACAGAAGACUAGAGGGUCUGGUAGAUAAUCUCUCAGCUCUCUGAGGAACUGCUCCAAAGAGGACACACCAAUAAGGAGAAUCACCAAAAUAUCAGAGGAAGUACCAACAGGUACCUACCCAUGGCUGGUCUGUCCUAAGAGGAUGGGACAACUUAAGACUGGAAACUCACCUCGAACCCCUGCACGUGGAUUUCCUGACCUUAGGCAGGGGAGAGAACCAGAGUUCAUAGAGGUUAUGCAACCUGAAUGAAAAUGAUGCACCAAGCAAGUAAGUAAUCUGGAAUUUGAAAGCACUGAAACCCAGGG
rnacentral:lncRNA from 1 species